rnacentral:misc_RNA from 1 species
GGAAUAUACGUAUGGCGACAGCGUGUUCGAUCUGUCCAGAUACUUGCCGAAAGACAAAGAGUGAGAGAUGUUUACGUUGCUAGUAAUUCAAUGUUUAGAACAAAUGAACGUUAAAACGCAUCAACAUGCCAAAUAAUUGAUAAAUCUAGAGUACUUCUACGUAAAUCGAAUUCCCAAAAAUUCUAGGUAAUUUAAUUAUUAUGUGCAUUAUAUGAUUAAAUCAUUUGGAGAAUAAAAUUCAAUUAUGUUUAUUUUCAAUGUGAAUAAAGUAAAAAAAAUACUUUAAAAGUAUGAAUUCGAAGCGAGAUUUUUUUCUCUGCGAUAUUGUUCAUAAAACAUAAUGUACAUACACGUAGUUUUAUGAUUUUUUGUUAAGUUAUAGUAACUUGGUGCUUAUUUGUGCAAUUAUUUACAUGUCAUAUAUGAAUGCAAUAAUUUUGUGCUGGGCCGUGCAAUUAUACAGCAGUAUUCAUUAUAGAUGAAUCUACAUUCAUUAACCAAUUUCAGAUAGGAACAUGUUUUGUAUUAAACCAUAAUUCAUAAAACAUUUAGUCAGCUAAAUGGCGAACAAGGACCUGUACUAUACAUUAAUUAGGAGUUCUCCGUAUUUUUAUAUGUAUAUGUACAUGUUUAUACAGUGCUUGCUUUUAAAUAAAGUUGCACACACUG